GCCCGGAUGGCGCAAUGGCUAGCGCGUCAGACUUUUAAUCUGAAUGUUGUGGGUUCGAGUCCCACUUCGGGCG